UAGCAUCGUCUUUUUGGUUUCCGAAGGCCCCGUUCGGCGUUCGCUCUGCAUUCCCCUUUUUGGUAUAUAUAUUUGAAUGAAUGGUUGAAUGUAGAAGUUGUCUUUUAGAUGUUUACGUUGUUCCUGCGUUCAACGCAUGCUCGGCGAUGGGUAAACUAUGGAUUUUCCGGCGGUUGGCAAACCUGGGGGCUGCGGAUCGCGGGAACCAGCUGCAGAAUGGUCGCAUCUUCUUCGCAUUUUGAGGCGGAUUCGAUCGUCUUUCUUUCGGGGCACUGAAAUCCAGUGCAUCGAAAUAAUCUAACCAAUGUUGAAACCUCCCGUUGAACUGGGUUCGGAAAGUUAUUGGGGCAUGGUGCUGCGAUGGAUACGGAGGUUGUCGUGCAAUUCGUGGGUCAACCAAGCGUAACCGAUCAUGCCUGUUGAUUCUUCAGGGUGGUCUUCUCUGCGUACGUAAUUAAGAAGAAGGAAGCGGCGAAUUAGGACGGACGAGGGCCGAGGCAACCGGCACUGCUUGUUUUGCAUUUGUUCUGUACAUUUAAGCCCCAUUCAGAUCAUGAGCUGUUUCGAUUUAUAAUACACGGGUAAUGGAAGGAUCUCUCACUUUGUGACAGUAUAAUUCCAUUAAAAUUGCGUCUGAUGGUGAAAUGUAAAAUUUUAAAGGAUGCUGGUCAUGUGGGCAUACUUUUUAGAGAGUCUCCCUUUUGGUCAUGCUCGAGGUUAUUAUUAGGUGAUUUAAUAAUUCGUUUUUUCUUAUUAUCAGGCACUUUCAUUCCGUUCCUUUUUGAAUUACAACUUGCAGGAGAUGUUUAGAUCCGCUGGGUUUGACCCUUUCCCUUUGCUGUUGCUUAGAUAAUUUCUUUUGAAGUACAUCAACUUUCUAUUUGGUUCAUUCAAUUCCCUUGAUAUUGGAAUUGGGUAUACCAUUGGAUUCUUUUUUAUGCUUGUCCUACCUCUGUUAUUUCUUUAGAGAAUUCUAACCAUAAACGAAUAAUUAGAGAAGAUUUAACCGUGUACUUCACAUGUUUUCUAAUUCAGAAUACAGAUGAUACUUCGAUAGGGAUCUAGAAAGCAAAAAAGCAUGUACACUCAAUUAGGAGAUUAGAUUUCUUAUAAUCAGAUUAUAUAGUUUCUUUUUGUCCAUUUCAGUAGAGCUGUAUGUAUUAUCUUCUGUAUCAUUUCGUUAAUUAAAAUUGUACAUGUGUUAUGACUGUUUAUGAGUAUUGUAACUUAGGAUUUUCUCAUUAUUUGUUUCUUAUUGAUAUUGACUUUUCAUGGAAGGUCCCCUUUGAACCGCUCAGCCGAUGCCUUGAAAUUGUGCAGGCAAGAGGGGACCAUCACCACAAUUUGUGUAUUGUAUCAGUGUCAGCACAUUGGACCAUAUCUGCCAGUGCUGCUACGUUUAAAUGAAAAAUUUCCUCGGAAUUCCUUUCAAGGGGGAACAUCAAUAUGAGAAUUAGAGGAAGACAAUCGUACUUUGUAUAUCUUUGAUGGUGCAAAUUGUUGUGCCUUUAGACAUUUUGAAUACUUGGAUAUGAGGUUAUACCCUCUUAUCUUAUCCCGUUUGUGGGAUAAAUUCUGGUCUAUACUUCCUUCUUGUUGCUUCUCUCUCGAGAAGCCACUUAGUACCAUCUUGACUUCUACUUAGAGCCUUGUGAUAAUUUUGCUGACAUUUGACAUUUAAAUAACAGAUAGUGAAGAUGGGGUCUGACUUCUGAAGGUCUCGGAGAGAGACGUUAAAGAUUGUAACUCUUAAUGUAAAGUGCAUGGCUAUGUUUAGAGGUUCACAAACUUCAUCUUCUUUGCAAUUUCUCUUCCUUGUCCUUCCCUGUCAUGCUUCAUUCAUAUAUGGCCUCUAAGUUUGGAGGGACAUUACUUGUACCAGUUCCUCGAAGAGUUUUUCCCUUUAGUGGAAGAGAAACAUGAAUUUCAUACUUGUGGUUUUGGUGAGAUAAUAAAAUGUACGGAGCAUUCCUUUCUCGGACAUUUUGAGCUACUAUUACUUAGUACAGGUCAUAGCCUUUUUCCCUGUACUUUAUUUUUAAAAUAUCUUCCAUGAAAUGCUUGAAUGAUAUAACUCUUCCAUCAUUCCAUGAUUUUAAUUGGACCAUAGGUUUCAUGUACCAACUAUGUCAUGGCCAUUUACAGGCACCCUCCUAGUUUGUACCCAUUGGAAAGUGUAACCAAGGAGUCAUCCAUUGGAAGUGGAACAACUCUCUUUCUGUGCAAUUUACUAUCAUUGCUUAUUGUUUCAAGUAAGUUCGACAUCCUUAACAGUAUUUACUUGGACAGGUUCAGGGACGCUUGUUUCCAGAGAGGAUAUCUAUUGCUUCGAUUCAGAAAGGAGACGGGGACAGAUCCACUUCUACAUCCUGAAAGUUAGAUUACUUGUAUCUGUGGGGAUUAUCCUGAUGACUAAAGUUAUAGGCUGUGCCUUUUCUACCAGUCUUUUUCCUGUGACUAAAGUAGAAAAUAGAGCUCAAAACCCUUUGUUGCGGGUGCUGGAAACUGGGAAGAAACCAUAUUCUGGGCCUGGUGAAUCAGCAGCUUCUCCAGCUCCGUGGUCAUGAACUCCCAAAGUUUUGGUUGGUUGGCUGCUUUGCAUCCGGUGCCUUUUCUUUCAAUAUAUAAACUGUUAGAAUUAGAAAGAUGGGCUCUCCGUUCACAUUGUGAUGUCUUGCAUUCAGAUUCAGACAUGCCUAUAUUCUUAGUGUCAUGUUGGCUUAGGACAAAUUAUACUACACGAAAUCAGGAAUGGUUGGCCAUGCUUGAAAAUUGAAAUUUGGUUCACCUACUUUUACUGACAAUUUAACCUCAUCUGCUCAUACUUCCUAGGCUCAACAUGAGCAGGCUACUGCUAUCUUAUACAAUGUCAACGACUUUAUCACCAUUCUACAUAAGAUUGAUGUUUCGCA